rnacentral:rRNA from 1 species
GAUGAACGCUGGCGGCGUGCCUAAUACAUGCAAGUCGAGCGAACAGACGAGGAGCUUGCUCCUCUGACGUUAGCGGCGGACGGGUGAGUAACACGUGGAUAACCUACCUAUAAGACUGGGAUAACUUCGGGAAACCGGAGCUAAUACCGGAUAAUAUAUUGAACCGCAUGGUUCAAUAGUGAAAGACGGUUUUGCUGUCACUUAUAGAUGGAUCCGCGCCGCAUUAGCUAGUUGGUAAGGUAACGGCUUACCAAGGCAACGAUGCGUAGCCGACCUGAGAGGUGAAUCGGCCACCCUGGAACGGAAACCGGGCCCAACCCCCAAGGGGGGGAAGAAGGGGGAAAUUUGCCGAAAGGGGGGAAAGCCGGACGAGGCAAAGCGCGGGGGUGGAUAAGGGUUUUGGGUUCUAAAACCUUUUUUUUUGGGAAAAAAAAAAGGUGAAAGAAACCAGGCCGUUCUGGAGGGUCCCAAAGAAGAAGGCCCCGCCAAACUAGGU